UGUUUGUGUUGUCAAAGUCACUCAGUGGAGGGAAUUGAUGACGGCGAUGAACGAUGAGCAGCUAACUUACGAGGAACGACUUGCACUUCACAUCCUCUCGUGCGCUAAUGUUUUUGUACGGUCGAUAAUGGAUGCUUUCUUCAAUGCUGCCUUAAGUACCCCUAUUAUACGUCAUGUGGCCAAUACAAAAUGCUGGAUGGCAUGACCUGUGACCCGGGCAAGACUUGCCGGAGAGGAGUUUGUGCGAAGCACUAAUUACGCAACAAAGCCAUAACUGUCAAUAUUCAAGAAAUCAUUCAUGCUAUAAAAAGGAAAUGAAACUGUUUUAGAACGACCAUUAGGUAUACUUCAUGUCUAUGAAAGGCAGUAACAACUAUAUCGCGGCUCCAAAUAAACA